rnacentral:rRNA from 1 species
GCUUGCUGGGGGGAUUAGUGGCGAACGGGUGAGUAACACGUGAGUAACCUGCCCCCUUCUUCGGGAUAACAUCGGGAAACCGGUGCUAAUACUGGAUAUGAGAUGUGCCUGCAUGGGUGUGUCUGGAAAGAUUUAUCGGGAGGGGAUGGACUCGCGGCCUAUCAGCUUGUUGGUGAGGUAGUGGCUCACCAAGGCGACGACGGGUAGCCGGCCUGAGAGGGCGACCGGCCACACUGGGACUGAGACACGGCCCAGACUCCUACGGGAGGCAGCAGUGGGGAAUAUUGCACAAUGGGCGAAAGCCUGAUGCAGCGACGCCGCGUGAGGGAUGAAGGCCUUCGGGUUGUAAACCUCUUUCAGUAGGGAAGAAGCGAAAGUGACGGUACCUGCAGAAGAAGCGCCGGCUAACUACGUGCCAGCAGCCGCGGUAAUACGUAGGGCGCAAGCGUUGUCCGGAAUUAUUGGGCGUAAAGAGCUCGUAGGCGGUUUGUCGCGUCUGGUGUGAAAAUCCAUGGCUCAACUGUGGACUUGCAUCGGGUACGGGCAGACUAGAGUGCGGUAGGGGAGACUGGAAUUCCUGGUGUAGCGGUGGAAUGCGCAGAUAUCAGGAGGAACACCGAUGGCGAAGGCAGGUCUCUGGGCCGC